UAGGCUCUCCAGCUGACAACCAGCUCAUAUGCCACGGUCCUGGCUGACGCUUGCAUCCACCAACAUCUGACAUCGUCAGAAACAAAAGCUCAAAAGAAGUUGGUACUUACUUUUGGGAGCAUGUGUUUACCAAUACAACGCCUUUCAUAAAUCGAGUUCAGGCCCGUUAGUUGGUAUGCUAAGCUUGAGAUUCGGUGCGGGCUGGUUUGGCAUUGACAAGAGGCCUCAGAGCCUUCACAACAAUCAUCAUAUUUGGUCGGAAAUCUGCCUCAUAUUGGAUACAAAGUGCAGCAACUGCUGCCAACUGAACCGACAACAAUUCAGUGUCUAUAGUGGACAGGGAAUUUCGACCCGUGUACUUAUAGUAAAUAGCUAAAGAGGAGAUGUGUUGAAAGUGGACCAAAAUCAUUUGAUUGAAAGAUUCAAAUACACCUUUGAGAUCACUUUAUUUAGAUAUUUAUAAGUUAUUGCAAAUAAUUUUCAUUUUGUGAUUAUUUAAUUCAUAUUCCAAAAUAUUUCAAUUUUCAUGCUCUAAGCAUAUACACUUCUUAGAAUCUUAUGCAAUCCAUAAAACUCCUUCUGCGAAACAUAAAUCAAGACACAAAUCACAACAAAUUUAGGUAGGGUUCCCACCAAAAUAGCUAAAAGGCGAAUGGGUUAAACAAGUUUGAAAGUCAGCCAAAUUCUAAUUUAAAGUACAAAAGGUGUUUACGAGUCAGCCUAACUAGAGCCGGUCUGUUUUGACUUCCGACCCAACCCAUUUUGACCCGUUACCUAACCCACCCAUCUUGCCACAUCUAAUAAUGUGUUUGUGUCACUAUGAGAAAACAUAUAUACGUGUAACAGUUGAGAAUUUUAUUUCAAGAGGAAGAGGAAUAUGAA